GAUGAACGCUAGCGGCAGGCCUAAUACAUGCAAGUCGGACGGGAUUGGGGAGCUUGCUCCCCAUGAGAGUGGCGCACGGGUGCGUAACACGUAUGUAACCUACCCUUGUCAGGGGGAUAGCCUCUCGAAAGAGAGAUUAACACCGCAUAACAUUAUUGGAUGGCAUCAUUUAAUAAUCAAAUAUUUAUAGGACAAGGAUGGGCAUGCGGGACAUUAGCUAGUUGGUAGGGUAACGGCUUACCAAGGCUACGAUGUCUAGGGGAUCUGAGAGGAUGGCCCCCCACACUGGUACUGAGACACGGACCAGACUCCCACGGGAGGCAGCAGUAAGGAAUAUUGGUCAAUGGGCGCAAGCCUGAACCAGCCAUGCCGCGUGCAGGAAGACGGCCCUACGGGUUGUAAACUGCUUUUGCGCCGGAAUAAACCCUUUUACGAGUAAGAGGCUGAAUGUACGGCGAGAAUAAGGAUCGGCUAACUCCGUGCCAGCAGCCGCCGUAA
rnacentral:rRNA from 1 species